rnacentral:rRNA from 1 species
GGACUUCCGCAUGGACGAAAGUCUGACGGAGCACGCCGCGUGAGUGAUGAAGGUUUUCGGAUCGUAAAGCUCUGUUGUUAGGGAAGAACAAGUGCCGUUCAAAUAGGGCGGCACCUUGACGGUACCUAACCAGAAAGCCACGGCUAACUACGUGCCAGCAGCCGCGGUAAUACGUAGGUGGCAAGCGUUGUCCGGAAUUAUUGGGCGUAAAGGGCUCGCAGGCGGUUUCUUAAGUCUGAUGUGAAAGCCCCCGGCUCAACCGGGGAGGGUCAUUGGAAACUGGGGAACUUGAGUGCAGAAGAGGAGAGUGGAAUUCCACGUGUAGCGGUGAAAUGCGUAGAGAUGUGGAGGAACACCAGUGGCGAAGGCGACUCUCUGGUCUGUAACUGACGCUGAGGAGCGAAAGCGUGGGGAGCGAACAGGAUUAGAUACCCUGGUAGUCCACGCCGUAAACGAUGAGUGCUAAGUGUUAGGGGGUUUCCGCCCCUUAGUGCUGCAGCUAACGCAUUAAGCACUCCGCCUGGGGAGUACGGUCGCAAGACUGAAACUCAAAGGAAUUGACGGGGGCCCGCACAAGCGGUGGAGCAUGUGGUUUAAUUCGAAGCAACGCGAA